rnacentral:rRNA from 2 species
AGUUAAAACAGUACGUGAAACCGCACAGGGGUAAACUGGUGAGAUCCUAAGUUUGGCCCGAUACAGUCUUUUGUCUCCUGCGGGGAUAAACCGAAGGGCACGUCCCGGUAUACGUUACGUUGCCGGACGUUGCUACCGAGGCAUGCCCCGUGGCGGGGCUUAAGCGGUUCCUGGUCGGGCGCCUGGCUGCGACCCGUUGGGCAGACCUCAAAGGCAGGGUUGGUCGUUCACUCCGGCUUGCGAUCGAGGACGCGCAUUGUUACAGUCCGGAGCUUUCCCCUCCUUCCAAUCGCAAGUGCGGUGGGGGGGUUCAGGCAACGGCAGGACUAAAGCGCGAUCAAUCCUCGAGUUCGUACCGCCAGUUACGACGCUUGUCCGGGGAGUGCCUUCCCGACUGAGCCCGAGGCCAGACUCGACGGAGAUCUGCAGCUAAUCAGCAAAAGGCUCUUACCAGCCCCGUCUUGAAACACGGACCAAGGAGUCCAGACUGUGCGCAAGUCCAAGGGCAAAACACUAACCCCAAGGGCGCAAUGAAGGUGACGAACGUCUCCGACGUUUUCAAACCAAUAGGUAAGAUCGGCAAAACCCGGCCCGUACAAUAGAUGGGUAAGCCUUAAAAACUUCCCUCUAAUCGGGUUCGGGGUAACCACUGGUUGCCGCGCAUUACCAGGGCGCUCCGGCACUGUCCGGGGCGCACCCAGAGCGUACAGUUUGGUACCCGAAAGAUGGUGAUCUAUGCCUGGGCCGGACGAAGCCGGGGGAAACCCCGGUGGAGGUCUAGACCGAUUCUGACGUGCAAAUCGAUCGCAGGAUCUGGGCAUAGGGGCGAAAGACUAAUCGAACCAUCUAGUAGCUGGUUCCUUCCGAAGUUUCCCUCAGGAUAGCUGGUACUCGAGACAUGGUUUCUGGUAGUCUCGUCUGGUAAAGCAAAUGAUUAGAGGAGCCGGGGCCGAAUCGGCCUCGACCUAUUAUCAAACUUUCAAUGGGCGAGCACCUCUCGCCUUCGAGAGAUUCGGGGGUCUUCGGACCCUCGAUUUUAAGAGGCAGUGGGCCGGAUACAUGAGUAUCUAGUGGGCCGUUUCUGGUAAGCAGAACUGGCGCUGUGGGAUGAACCAAACGCGGAGUUAAGGCGCCUAACGAGAGCCGCAAAAUCACCCGUAAGGGUGCUGGUCGCUAAAGACAGCAGGACGGUGGCCAUGGAAGUUGGCAUCCGCUAAGGAGUGUGUAAAUACUCACCUGCCGAAGCAACUGGCGUUAAAAAUGGAUGGCGCUCAAGCUCUCGGCCUAUACUCCGCCGUCGGGGCAACGAUACCGGCGAACGCAGCAAUGCUUCGUACGGGUACGAAGACGCCCCGACGAGUAGGAAGGCGCCGCGGUGUGCGUGGAAGGACUAGGCGUAAGCCGGUCUGGAGCCGCCGUGGGUGAAGAUCUUGGUGGUAGUAGCAAUUACUCCGGAAAGCAGCCUGGAGGGCAGGUGCGGGGAAGGUUUCCUUGACAACUGCCGUUGGACAAGGGUUAGUCGAUCCUAAGCGCACUGGGGCAUUCCCAUCCUGAAUGGGUUGGACCAGGCCGUACUUGUACGACUUGCAAUCCACUCCAGCUGCGACAGGGAAUCAGGUUAAAAUUCCUGAACCUCGUGCAGCACUGUGAAUAACCUGUUAUGAGUCUCGGCAACGAGAAUGAAUCCGGGGACGCUGCGGUGUGGCCGUGGGAGAGUUAUCUUUUCUUGUUAAGUGCUAUACCAUCCCUGGAAUUUACUCGAUAAGAGAAAGGGAAGGAGAAGCUACGAAAGAGCGCCGCAUAGUGCUUGCGGUGUCACGGCCUGUCACCCCAGCCC